GGUUAGGUCUAAUCGGAGGCUUGGCCUAUUCAGUCCGGUUUGACUAAAAUAGGAAAGGAGAGAUUUGGCUUGGGUCGACUUGGAUCAAUCAAUAUAUCUAGUCUAAAAUGAAUGGACUCGGCCCACAAUGGAUGAACAGGGCCCACGAGGAAUAAGGCCCACAAUAGAUGAGCAGAAACCAAAAUGACAGAUCACGGCCUAAAAUGAACAUGACCCACAAUGGAUGAACAGAGCCCAAAAUGAAUACGACCCACAAUAGACACGGCCCAUAAUAGGUGAAUAGGGUCCAAAAUGAAUAGGACCCACAAUAGAUGAAUAGGGCCAACAAGGCCUAAAAGGAAUACAGUCCAUAAUGGGUAAGUAGGGCCCAAUAGGAUUAUGGCC
rnacentral:lncRNA from 1 species